CCUGGCAACCCCUCUCCUAGUUGUUUGUCGCAUCUCUGAGGUCCUUCCCUUUUGUCACCUGCUCUCACCUUGAUUGGCUCCUCACAUGACACUGCAUUUGAUUUCAAGCAGAAGAUAAUUAUUCUGCCUCUACCUAGCUCGCUGUCUGUUGCUAGGUGCCAAAAGGUACAAGAAACGAGGAAGACAUGGCCCCAGACAUGAGGCAGGAUGAAACUACUGCUAAUUAGAGCUGUAGUCGGUGCCCAGAGGGCAGAGAAAAAGCCUCCAGAAGAACAUGGAGAUCAAGUUACCUCGUAAGAUUCAGAGCCCCAAUUUUGGACAAGAAUUACUCUCAUGGCUCUGACUCUGAGCUAAACCAUUCCUGACUGGUUAUGGCAUCAGAGCCACAAUCUUCUCACAGAACAUGCCACCUGGAUGGGGAAUUGGAAGGCUAUGAGAAAGUAUGAUUCCAGGCACAGACAAUGAAAUAGAGAGAGGACUUCAAGGAAUGGAAGCAGAAAACCUUUCUGGAAGCCCUCCCAGGACAGUGUGUGAAAAGACCGUUUACCCGCUUUGCCAAUAUGAAUGGCUGAAUCUAGCCAGCACCCACCAGUUCUGGAGGCUUCUGAUCCUGCAAAUAAGCAUGAUACAGGGAUCACAAGAGAAGGGAGAGCCCAACCCUGCCCCUCAUCUGCAUCAACCUACCUGCAUCAACUCUGCCAGGACAUGUUGCCAGUGGCAGAAAAAUCUCCCAGCCAGUUCUGCCAAGCUCAUCUUCUGGAGGCUGCAGCCAUCACCAAGAUUCAUCCAUGUUCCAAGAUGUGGACUUGACCCAGACCCUGGAGUCACCACGCCUUCUGUCCAAUGACUGCUUAGGUACCAGGGCAUCUGAAGGCGAUGCUAGAACUGGAAAGCAACUCGAGAUUACCUAGUCCAACUGCCUCAUUGUGCACAUGGGGAAAUUGAGGCCCAGAGAGAACAUGUGACUCAUAGCCACCUGUUGGCAGGAGCAUGCCAGGCUGUAGAGCCUUUUACAAGGUUAUUCUCACAUAUCUGAGAAAUAGUAGUCUCCGUGAUUUCUGUGCAUGAACUAUUCAUCUGGAGGCUGGAAAAUAUUGUCACUUCAGAGUAGCUAAGGAGACACUGGGACACAAACUGAAUUUUCUUACUUGUAGGAAGGACUGGGCCACCUAAGUCCUUAGAAAGUCCCAGAUUAGAGCCAUCCCUCCAUCCACUCCCCUGGCCAGCUAAUCAGCAGGUUCCCGGCCAGGUCUGGUCAGGCGAUGCCUGGUCAAGAGAUGAAGACCAAGUGCCCACCCUCAAGGGUUGUACAGGGUUUUGAUGGCCAACCUGAGUUGGGAGCACAGGCAACAGGGAGUCACUGAUGGGCUUUGUUUGCCUUCUUCCCUCAGGGAUCUUCCCAAGUGUGCCCUGACUCUCAGAUCCUGCACCCAAUAGAUUUGAAGUUUAGUCUUUAAUGCAAAAAAAUCCUUUCAUGAAACACUUGCUUAUUGUAACACACUUUCACCCUGUAUCUCUAAGAAGUAACAAGAGUAGUGAAAUAACAAGGGUGAAGUUCACUGAUGGCUCUGGAAAUGUUAAAGACUUCCGGUCUGGUGCAGUCCCCUCCUUGGCAUAUAUACAGGGAACAGACGCCUUGGGAAGAGUGAGCAGAAGAGAACAAAGUCACAUGGGAAAUGAAAGUGGGUGGGGGUCGGGCCUCCUUAGAGGGCUGCAACCACCAGUGUGGGGCAGGGAAUUGGCUGAGGGUUUAGCUUUGGCAGAAGUGCUAAGCUGGCCAAGUGUAGACUCCCCACAGCUGCCCAAGAAAAGAGGUGAGAGGCCAGAUCUGGCACUCCAAAGAUCUGCCUAUUGGGCUGCUAGGGUGCCUCCUUCCUGCUGGGCUGAGCUCAAGGACAGCAUGGUCUUGUUCUGCAUCAGCUUCUCAAAGCUUGGCACAGGGCCUGACAAAUGCUUUAGCAUGAACAAAUGAGCAGGAGAGUUGGAUGAUCAGAUCACAUCCCUAAGAGGCUUGAGCCCAAUAAGGGUUAGAGGUGGACGGCCAAAGAAGAAAGGGAAUAACAUUUGUGAAGACUGCAUCUUGAGCCAGGCUACGGUGGAUGUUAAGAUGUCCAUUUUACAGGUACCCUGUGAGCAACCAUUUCACACUGGAAGCCACAGCAACCAGAGGGAUCGCACAGCAUGAUUUUCGAAGGCCCAGUGCCCCUGUUCUUUUCCCAAGAGGACUCUGCAGCUUGUCAAGACUUUGUUGAACCAUGAAAUAUAUCCAGAAAAGAAGAAUUCAGAGGUAAAAGCACAAGAGGACCAGACAGAAAAUAUUCAGCAUAUAUAAUCAAUACAAGUUCAAGUCUUUGAAAAUAUCUUUAAGAUAGAUAAAUCUUUGGCAAGUUUUGGUCAAGAAAAAAGAAAGCAUGGACAAGCAAUGCUAGGAAUGAAAAAAAGGGACAAACUGACAAUGGGGAAAUUUAAAAGGGGAAGGAGAAAAUACAAACCUUUAUGGCAAUAAAUUAAAAAUCUAGAUAAGACAUGUGACCUAUGAAAUCACCAAAGCCCUUUCGCAACGGUUACCUCCAUAAACCCUUACAACAGCACUGUGCUUUGGACAGCAGUGCUCACUGAGGUUUUCUAGAAGGAAAAGAGAUUGAGAGGUGGACACUCAGCACAGAUCCCUGACAAGCUACUCGCUUUGUCUCAAAGGUCACAGCCACAGUACCUGCCACACUCUCGCACUUCCAGCCAUCACCUUAAGCCCCUUGGUUGGAAGCCAUCCUUAUUUAUUUUUCCACUUGAAAUGCCAUAAGGGGUUUCACUUUAUUUUUACUUCAAAAGCAGCACCAAAAAAAUCCUUGACGAUUAGAGCUCCAGCUGUCCUAAGUUGUUUGUCAAGGGAUCGGUUACUCAAAUCUCCUAUGGAGGGAAACAGUUUCAGGCGAGGCCAUGGGAGCUGAGAAACACAAAUGUCUCAUCUCUAAAAACUUUCAGACUCCCUCCUGUUCACCGCCUGGCCUGCCCCCUGCUCCCCCUCCCCCAACCCCACCAUCUGCUCUCCAGAGAGCAGAUCAAAUUUUCGGGCUAAGGUACUCUGGCGCCAAGGACUCAGCCCCUCCACGCUAUCCCCUGCCCCCCACCAAUGUAGAAAUCCAACACCACAACCCAAAUGGACUGCAGCCAUAUAAAACCACAAAGUAAAGUUU